GGUUAAGCGACUAAGCGUACACGGUGGAUGCCCUGGCAGUCAGAGGCGAUGAAGGACGUGCUAAUCUGCGAUAAGCGUCGGUAAGGUGAUAUGAACCGUUAUAACCGGCGAUUUCCGAAUGGGGAAACCCAGUGUGUUUCGACACACUAUCAUUAACUGAAUCCAUAGGUUAAUGAGGCGAACCGGGGGAACUGAAACAUCUAAGUACCCCGAGGAAAAGAAAUCAACCGAGAUUCCCCCAGUAGCGGCGAGCGAACGGGGAGCAGCCCAGAGCCUGAAUCAGUGUGUGUGUUAGUGGAAGCGUCUGGAAAGGCGCGCGAUACAGGGUGACAGCCCCGUACACAAAAAUGCACAUGCUGUGAGCUCGAUGAGUAGGGCGGGACACGUGGUAUCCUGUCUGAAUAUGGGGGGACCAUCCUCCAAGGCUAAAUACUCCUGACUGACCGAUAGUGAACCAGUACCGUGAGGGAAAGGCGAAAAGAACCCCGGCGAGGGGAGUGAAAAAGAACCUGAAACCGUGUACGUACAAGCAGUGGGAGCACGCUUAGGCGUGUGACUGCGUACCUUUUGUAUAAUGGGUCAGCGACUUAUAUUCUGUAGCAAGGUUAACCGAAUAGGGGAGCCGAAGGGAAACCGAGUCUUAACUGGGCGUUAAGUUGCAGGGUAUAGACCCGAAACCCGGUGAUCUAGCCAUGGGCAGGUUGAAGGUUGGGUAACACUAACUGGAGGACCGAACCGACUAAUGUUGAAAAAUUAGCGGAUGACUUGUGGCUGGGGUGAAAGGCCAAUCAAACCGGGAGAUAGCUGGUUCUCCCCGAAAGCUAUUUAGGUAGCGCCUCGUGAAUUCAUCUCCGGGGGUAGAGCACUGUUUCGGCAAGGGGGUCAUCCCGACUUACCAACCCGAUGCAAACUGCGAAUACCGGAGAAUGUUAUCACGGGAGACACACGGCGGGUGCUAACGUCCGUCGUGAAGAGGGAAACAACCCAGACCGCCAGCUAAGGUCCCAAAGUCAUGGUUAAGUGGGAAACGAUGUGGGAAGGCCCAGACAGCCAGGAUGUUGGCUUAGAAGCAGCCAUCAUUUAAAGAAAGCGUAAUAGCUCACUGGUCGAGUCGGCCUGCGCGGAAGAUGUAACGGGGCUAAACCAUGCACCGAAGCUGCGGCAGCGACGCUUAUGCGUUGUUGGGUAGGGGAGCGUUCUGUAAGCCUGUGAAGGUGUGCUGUGAGGCAUGCUGGAGGUAUCAGAAGUGCGAAUGCUGACAUAAGUAACGAUAAAGCGGGUGAAAAGCCCGCUCGCCGGAAGACCAAGGGUUCCUGUCCAACGUUAAUCGGGGCAGGGUGAGUCGACCCCUAAGGCGAGGCCGAAAGGCGUAGUCGAUGGGAAACAGGUUAAUAUUCCUGUACUUGGUGUUACUGCGAAGGGGGGACGGAGAAGGCUAUGUUGGCCGGGCGACGGUUGUCCCGGUUUAAGCGUGUAGGCUGGUUUUCCAGGCAAAUCCGGAAAAUCAAGGCUGAGGCGUGAUGACGAGGCACUACGGUGCUGAAGCAACAAAUGCCCUGCUUCCAGGAAAAGCCUCUAAGCAUCAGGUAACAUCAAAUCGUACCCCAAACCGACACAGGUGGUCAGGUAGAGAAUACCAAGGCGCUUGAGAGAACUCGGGUGAAGGAACUAGGCAAAAUGGUGCCGUAACUUCGGGAGAAGGCACGCUGAUAUGUAGGUGAAGUCCCUCGCGGAUGGAGCUGAAAUCAGUCGAAGAUACCAGCUGGCUGCAACUGUUUAUUAAAAACACAGCACUGUGCAAACACGAAAGUGGACGUAUACGGUGUGACGCCUGCCCGGUGCCGGAAGGUUAAUUGAUGGGGUCAGCGCAAGCGAAGCUCUUGAUCGAAGCCCCGGUAAACGGCGGCCGUAACUAUAACGGUCCUAAGGUAGCGAAAUUCCUUGUCGGGUAAGUUCCGACCUGCACGAAUGGCGUAAUGAUGGCCAGGCUGUCUCCACCCGAGACUCAGUGAAAUUGAACUCGCUGUGAAGAUGCAGUGUACCCGCGGCAAGACGGAAAGACCCCGUGAACCUUUACUAUAGCUUGACACUGAACAUUGAGCCUUGAUGUGUAGGAUAGGUGGGAGGCUUAGAAGUGUGGACGCCAGUCUGCAUGGAGCCGACCUUGAAAUACCACCCUUUAAUGUUUGAUGUUCUAACGUUGACCCGUAAUCCGGGUUGCGGACAGUGUCUGGUGGGUAGUUUGACUGGGGCGGUCUCCUCCUAAAGAGUAACGGAGGAGCACGAAGGUUGGCUAAUCCUGGUCGGACAUCAGGAGGUUAGUGCAAUGGCAUAAGCCAGCUUGACUGCGAGCGUGACGGCGCGAGCAGGUGCGAAAGCAGGUCAUAGUGAUCCGGUGGUUCUGAAUGGAAGGGCCAUCGCUCAACGGAUAAAAGGUACUCCGGGGAUAACAGGCUGAUACCGCCCAAGAGUUCAUAUCGACGGCGGUGUUUGGCACCUCGAUGUCGGCUCAUCACAUCCUGGGGCUGAAGUAGGUCCCAAGGGUAUGGCUGUUCGCCAUUUAAAGUGGUACGCGAGCUGGGUUUAGAACGUCGUGAGACAGUUCGGUCCCUAUCUGCCGUGGGCGCUGGAGAACUGAGGGGGGCUGCUCCUAGUACGAGAGGACCGGAGUGGACGCAUCACUGGUGUUCGGGUUGUCAUGCCAAUGGCACUGCCCGGUAGCUAAAUGCGGAAGAGAUAAGUGCUGAAAGCAUCUAAGCACGAAACUUGCCCCGAGAUGAGUUCUCCCUGACCCUUUAAGGGUCCUGAAGGAACGUUGAAGACGACGACGUUGAUAGGCCGGGUGUGUAAGCGCAGCGAUGCGUUGAGCUAACCGGUACUAAUGAACCGUGAGGCUUAACCUU
rnacentral:rRNA from 1 species